AAGAGCCAGCUCUAGGACCGCCCCUGGGCAGGGUUCAUGCCGGGGAAGUGUGAUCACCCGGAGAGCGAACACACCCGCGUAAAAAUUACAUUCUCCUUCGUAUGUGUGUCGGUCAAAUGUAACGUAGAUUUUUGCACAUGCGGGGCUAGUUCUUUCUGCCUGUGACCGUUUCAGAGAACGGAAGUGCGCGUCGUUAUAAAUAUAAAGUAGUCAAGUAAAAGUGGCUUACAUCGGUUAAAAAAAAACUAGUAAUCUUAUAAACUAAAUGUUGAAAGUAGUACGAUUAAAAAAGUGGUUAAAACACAAAAAAACCACAUUCAGUGUGAAACCGAAGUCGACGGAACACAACAUUAAAAAGAUGAUUCUUCAAAUUCCUCAGCUAACAAUAUCGUCAUUAAUCCAAACGUUUACUACAUGCUGGAUGGCGAUGGUUUAGUGUCAGAAGUAAGUUCUAUUAAAUCAAAAAAUGCGAAGCCGAAAGGGAGAUCUGGUCAGAAUGAAGGGGCUACUGAUUUGACGUCUUCUCCUUAUCGAAAGGAAUUGUUGAAAGGAAAAGCCCGUAAAGAUCAAAAAGGCAUUAAAAAAACAAAGUCAACUUCCAAAAAAUUGAAAACCACACAAUUUUGCAACGAUGUUUUGUGUUCGCUAUGCGGAAUGCUUUUCAGUUCAUGCGAAGAUGGUGUUGGCUGGAACAAAUGUACUGAAUGCAGCUGUUGGUUCCACGUCCAGUGUUUGGAACAGGAU